AUCUCUUUGCCAUUUGGCUUAGAUCCAGUGUAGUAUCUGUUCUUUUCAGUGUAACAGCUGAAAUGUCAUCAUUGAUGACAAGAAAUUGUUACGUUAAUGGAAUUUUUGGAGAUAGGUGAGUUGAUUUCAAAUGGGCUUGCUCAUAAUCAACUUGCACAGUGUCGUUGCCUUCAUUGGCUCCUGACGCGAAUUCAC
rnacentral:snRNA from 1 species